CCAGUGUUUGCCGAGGCAAGGCUGUCGAGGUCGUCAGGUGAUCGAUCCGUGCGGGUGUUGUACACACUGCGCCAAGACAAAGGGGCAGGUGUGCGGCGGGCCGAGCUGGAGAUACGGUAACUGUGAUCCGGAUUUGGUUUGCGCUCUUGUCGUGGGGCUCGAUUCGGCCAGACCUCCACAGACGGGCGUGUGCAAAGUGAUACCAAAACAUCUAAAAAAACACUUCCCCGUUCCUCUUUGUCCCGUUCAAAACGGUUGCAACGUGCACGUUGGGAAUUGUGACUGUUAUUCAGACCAGUCCUGUGACUCACCGUUCAGUUACAGCACCUACGAAGCCUGCAAUAAAGUUCUAAUGGCUUUCUUGAUGUAUGACUUUUAUGCCAACGACAUGGAAACGCCUCCCAAACCCGAGGUACCUGCAUAUGAGUGUAAGGAGUGGAGCUGUGAGGUUCAGGCCUGCGAGUGUGUGUGUCAAUAUAGAAAAUGUGUCUACAGGUUAGCUCCACUUAACGAGGCCGCCUGCUGCGACGUACUGAGUAAGAACGCAUCUUUUCCCGCACGAAGUUGAUUAAUAGUGAUACUUUGAGGUUAGUCUUAAACAGCUCACUCACACUGUGACUUGUUGAUUGGAAAUUCUCUCUCUCUCUCGCUCUCUCUCUCUCUCUCUCUCUCCCUGCCUCUCUCAGAGGAAUCUGGGUGCCUUAAUACGUCGUGUCCUGGGACUCCCACUCUGGCUUGUCCGGCAGACUCCUUCAUUAGUGAGCCCCACACCGAACCCGGUCACUGCUGCCCUGUUGUGCCUGCUAUGUGCACCUGCGACUUCCAGACCUGCACUCCAAAACCCACAUACUGCCCUAACCGCGGACUUCCCCGACUCCUUGUGAAGGGAAACGGCCACCCGGGGACCUGCUGCGACCGCUACGAGUGUGUGAAAGAAGGAGAUUAAUUAGCAUGUGUAAUAUAAUACACACUUUUAUCUUAUUAUCCUUGUGAAACUAACCGUAACCUCACUAACCGUAACCUUAACCUCAGUAACCAAAAGGAAACAUUUCGGCUCUGGUAGAUUUAUUUUUCAUUUCAGGCAAACACCUUGCUGUUUCAUGUAAUGCUCAGAAUGCUUGAUGUGCAAAAAAAUCUGGAAUGUACUCAACAAUAAAAGAAAUAUUUACAGGAAGAAAU
ensembl:lncRNA